UACCAGCUCUCCGAGUGGUAGGGAUGUUUAUUGGGCUUAAAGCGUCCGUAGCCGGCUUAGCAAGUCUCCUGUUAAAUUCAGCGACCUAAUCGUUGAGCCGCGGGAGAUACUACUAGGCUAGGAGGCGGGAGAGGUCAACGGUACUUCCGGGGUAGGGGUGAAAUCCUAUAAUCCCGGGAGGACCACCAGUGGCGAAGGCUGUUGACUAGAACGCGCUCGACGGUGAGGGACGAAAGCUGGGGGAGCGAACCGGAUUAGAUACCCGGGUAGUCCCAGCUGUAAACGAUGCGAGCUAGGUGUUGGGGUGGCUACGUGCCACUUCAGUGCCGCAGGGAAGCCAUUAAGCUCGCCGCCGUGGGGAGUACCGGCCGCAAGGCUGAAACUUAAAGGAAUUGGCGGGGGAGCACCACAAGGCGUGAAGCUUGCGGUUC
rnacentral:rRNA from 1 species